rnacentral:rRNA from 1 species
GUCCAUGCCGUAAACGUUGGGCACUAGGUGUGGGGAACAUUCCACGUUUUCCGCGCCGUAGCUAACGCAUUAAGUGCCCCGCCUGGGGGAGUACGGCCGCAAGGCUAAAAACUCAAAGGAAUUGACGGGGGCCCGCACAAGCGGCGGAGCAUGCGGAUUAAUUCGAUGCAACGCGAAGAACCUUACCAAGGCUUGACAUGUUCCAGACCGCCUCAGAGAUGGGGGUUUCCCUUCGGGGCUGGUUCACAGGUGGUGCAUGGUUGUCGU